rnacentral:lncRNA from 1 species
UUGCUCCCAAGUUCUGUUGAUAGAGAUGUAAGACUUUUUCUUUUGUUAACAUGAAUUUAGUUGAUUGUUAACAGAUUUGUCUGUAAGGUUUGAGGCCGCAUUUAACGGACUGAACAUUUUUUCUUUCUGAACUAUGAUCUUAUGGGAAGUAGCGAGAGUGCGGGACUAUGAUUUGGCUAUGGAGGCGUCACCUAACAAUUCUGCAUUCCAGGUAUAGUUUCUGAUCCUGAUGGCUAAAAAUAUAUAUUUCUACAGUUCUUAAUACAGUAAUAUCUAACGACAUUUGUAUGAAAUUAAUGUUGUUGCGAUUAAAUUCCAUGUGUAAGAGGAUCAGUUAGCGUGCUACAAUAAGAGCUCAUGAUCAGUUAACACACUAGAAUAAAACAUGGAGUAAAGAUGCUGGAAAAAAAUGCAUUCCUCGGUCAUAUGGUUACACAUGCGUUGCAUGUGCAUGGUUACUAUGUGCUCACGAAAUUCAUGAUUGAAAAUCCUAAUUCGGAUGGAGCAAAGUUUCUACAAACUUUAUAGAUACCGGUGUUUAACUUUUAUAUUAGGCAAAAUGAGCUCCUUUGCGAAACUGGUCGUACAAUUCAUUCUUCAGAAGUGCAUUUGUAAUAAAGAAUUCCAAUUUCUUGAUUUUCAGUAAACUGAUUGGGCCUCCCUUCCCAUUUUUUCCAGAAUCACCUCGCUUCCCAUUUUCAGAUACGGAGCUCUACAACAGAAUUCCAGUUUGUUCCUCUAUCAUUUAUGUUACAACUUGUUGUUGAUUCUUUUACAUUUCUUUGGUAACUUUAAGUGAAAGGCAACCUACAAUCGAGCAGCGAUUUACCAAAGAGCAGUUUAGAGUUUUCUCUUUCUUUUGUACAUUGUUGUUGUGCAUAAUUUGUUCUGUUAUAGAGCUUUGUUAGAAAAGCUGAUUUAACGCAUUGUUCGGCUUUAGAUUACUGCACCUUAUGGUUGUGAGUGGAUUUAAGAGUUAACAUGAUACAAUAUCUUUUUGAAAGAUGAUAGAUUAUCUCGACACAAGCAGGUGCCAUUUUUUGGCAGCGUCCACGAUUUCAGUGCACAUGAUUUACUACUGAAAUACUCAUGACUUACUAUUUGGCUAUACAUGUUUUACAGUAUUUUCUAGGUGUACUGAAAUUUCUGAAAUGGAGUUGUAUAUCUUGUUUCUUAAAUUUGCAUGAACCAGGAUUGUAUGGGAAUUAGUGUCGGUAUAUGCACAAGUUGCUGUAUGUCCGGUUGUAAAUGGGCUACAAAGAAAUCAGCUUUAAGAUCCUUUAGAACUGACAUGCAGACCAUGUUACGUUUUUGUCAUACAUAUAGUUGUAAGCUUUUCAUUUGGUCUCAAAUUUAAAUGAAGCUGACCAUUUUCAGUCCUUUUUUUGGGGUUGUCCACACAGGACAUACAGUACACGAGUCAUACAUACAGUUUUGAAUCUUCUACUAGCUGGAAAAAUUGAAUGAAUGCUAAUUGGUUUUCAGUCGAUCGUGAAAUAGAUAUAUUCCCUGAUGAAACUGAAACCUUUACCCUUUCUAAAUGUAAACUUGUGCCAUUAAUGCCGCAUUGUUCUUUGGGUCUGUUUUUUCUCACAAACUCAUAACAUGCUAGGAGAAGAAUCAUGUAGGCAGAUGAAUGUAAAUUAUGAAGCAUCUUAGCACCGUUUUUGUAUUUAUUAG